UACGGAGAGUUUGAUCCUGGCUCAGGAUGAACGCUGGCGGCGUGCCUAAUACAUGCAAGUCGAGCGAACUGAUUAGAAGCUUGCUUCUAUGACGUUAGCGGCGGACGGGUGAGUAACACGUGGGCAACCUGCCUGUAAGACUGGGAUAACUUCGGGAAACCGAAGCUAAUACCGGAUAACAUCAUUCCUUGCAUAAGGAAUGAUUGRAAGAUGGUUUCGGCUAUCACUUACAGAUGGGCCCGCGGUGCAUUAGCUAGUUGGUGAGGUAACGGCUCACCAAGGCAACGAUGCAUAGCCGACCUGAGAGGGUGAUCGGCCACACUGGGACUGAGACACGGCCCAGACUCCUACGGGAGGCAGCAGUAGGGAAUCUUCCGCAAUGGACGAAAGUCUGACGGAGCAACGCCGCGUGAGUGAUGAAGGCUUUCGGGUCGUAAAACUCUGUUGUUAGGGAAGAACAAGUAUGAGAGUAACUGCUCGUACCUU
rnacentral:rRNA from 1 species